ACUUGGACAGGGAGGGACUGCGGGGUGUUGGAGUACCUUAAGUACAGACCUCGCGACUGUUGUUUUGGGGCGUGCUUUUACUCGGUUUCGUUCAGAGGGAGUUCGAGGAUAAAGGGAGGGAGGUAAUUAAAGCUAGUCUGGGUAGGUUUUCGCAGGGUUCUUUCAUUACUGCUGUUGAGGCGAGUGAUUUCGCCGGCGAAUAUGCAGAGGUUCCUCGGGGGCGCGAUCUUGAUUCGGAGAUUGACAGCGCUGAAUUUUGCUGAUCGGUGGGUUUCCAAUAGAAGGAUGGGUGCAGAGGAUUCUCCGAGUGAGGGUGCAGCUGAAAAGAAAUGGCUGGGGUUACAAAAAAAGAUUUAAUGACGCUGGUUGAUAAAAAAAAAGAAAAAAAAAGAAAAAGAAGUGACGUGGAAGAGACGAAAGGAAAGCUUCCCAUUUUCGUGUGAAGUGAUUUUAAAGACAAUGAUGCGUGCCUCAACCUAGAGAAGUGGAUGAGCAUUUUAGAAUCACUCACAGUAGGGGAAGUCUGGGAUGGCUCGGGAAUGUCCCGCACUGGGAGACAGGAGGGUGUCACGGGACCCUCACCUCCUUACCUGAAGACAAAAGACGAACGAGGGCCUCUGGGCUGAAGGAAAUCGUAUGCAGAGCCAAAAUUUGUUCUUAGCGCGGACAACAGAUGGCGCUGACUGCUGUGGCCAUGAAUCAUGACCCAAAUUCAUGAACAAACGUACUGAUGCUAAGCUGAGAUUACAAAUGAAAGUGGAGACAUCAAGAAGGAAAUCAGUCAUGAUGAAAACCCUAUUUGGAAGCAUAUGACAUCAGAUACUUCAAACCACUGAAAGCAGCUUCAAGACAUUGAUAGGAAUGAAAGGAGCCCAUCCUUCCGCUGAUCACAAUUGUAUAAAUAAUUGAUACACGCAGUCACCCAUGGCAUAUUCAAGAAGGGUAGGCUUUUAUCUUUUUUUUGUUUUUGUAUUUGUUUUGGGUAAAAGUAAACACCCAGGAAUUUGGUAAUUUUUCACUUACUAAUAUCCUAUCUUUCUGUAGUUCUGCUUACUAGCCUUCCUUAUGUGUUAUCAUGCUUAACCGCCAUUGCCUUGAUUUUUGGAAAACUGUAAAAUGAUUACUGUUUUGUUAAUGGCAGUAUAAUGAUUAUAGUAGCAGUAAUGAUAAAGGUAAUAGUAGUAAUUGAAAUAGCAUGGUUUGUGGACCAUCUGUGUGUGAACAAAAUAAACAGAAAACUAUA